rnacentral:lncRNA from 1 species
GAAAAGUGGACACCGAUAGAGACAAGCAAUUAAGGCAACAACUAGCUUUCACAUUCAGUGACAUUUAAUCUCUUCCAAAAAUUGAAAGUUCAUUUUUUUCCGAAGCAGUAGAUUGAAAGUUCUUUAAUACUCAAGAAUGAAAAAAUCGAAAACCCAUCAUCGUUACCAAUAGGUAUUAAUUAUAAACCAAUAUUUCUGGUUCAAUAUUUCCUCAUGGCAAGUACAGUGAUAUAUCCCUAAAUUCUGAAUUUU